UACGUAGGGGGCAAGCGUUGUCCGGAAUUAUUGGGCGUAAAGAGCGUGUAGGCGGUCCGGUAAGUCGGCUGUGAAAGCCCAGGGCUCAACCCUGGGAUGCCGGUCGAUACUGCCGGACUAGAGUUCGGAAGAGGCGAGUGGAAUUCCCGGUGUAGCGGUGAAAUGCGCAGAUAUCGGGAGGAACACCUAUGGCGAAGGCAGCUCGCUGGGACGUUACUGACGCUGAGGAGCGAAAGCGUGGGGAGCGAACAGG
rnacentral:rRNA from 1 species